AAAUCAACCGAGAUUCCCCCAGUAGCGGCGAGCGAACGGGGAGCAGCCCAGAGUCUGAAUCAGCUUGUGUGUUAGUGGAACGGUCUGGAAAGUCCGACGGUACAGGGUGAUAGUCCCGUACACCAAAAUGCACAGGCUGUGAACUCGAAGAGUAGGGCGGGACACGUGGUAUCCUGUCUGAAUAUGGGGGGACCAUCCUCCAAGGCUAAAUACUCCUGACUGACCGAUAGUGAACCAGUACCGUGAGGGAAAGGCGAAAAGAACCCCGGCGAGGGGAGUGAAAAAGAACCUGAAACCGUGUACGUACAAGCAGUGGGAGCACCUUCGGGUGUGACUGCGUACCUUUUGUAUAAUGGGUCAGCGACUUAUAUUCUGUAGCAAGGUUAACCGUAUAGGGGAGCCGCAGGGAAACCGAGUCUUAACUGGGCGUUAAGUUGCAGGGUAUAGACCCGAAACCCGGUGAUCUAGCCAUGGGCAGGUUGAAGGUUGGGUAACACUAACUGGAGGACCGAACCGACUAAUGUUGAAAAAUUAGCGGAUGACUUGUGGCUGGGGGUGAAAGGCCAAUCAAACCGGGAGAUAGCUGGUUCUCCCCGAAAGCUAUUUAGGUAGCGCCUCGUGAAUUCAUCUUCGGGGGUAGAGCACUGUUUCGGCUAGGGGGUCAUCCCGACUUACCAACCCGAUGCAAACUACGAAUACCGAAGAAUGUUAUCACGGGAGACACACGGCGGGUGCUAACGUCCGUCGUGAAGAGGGAAACAACCCAGACCGCCAGCUAAGGUCCCAAAGUCAUGGUUAAGUGGGAAACGAUGUGGGAAGGCACAGACAGCCAGGAUGUUGGCUUAGAAGCAGCCAUCAUUUAAAGAAAGCGUAAUAGCUCACUGGUCGAGUCGGCCUGCGCGGAAGAUGUAACGGGGCUAAACCAUGCACCGAAGCUGCGGCAGCGACACUAUGUGUUGUUGGGUAGGGGAGCGUUCUGUAAGCCUGCGAAGGUGACCUGUGAGGGUUGCUGGAGGUAUCAGAAGUGCGAAUGCUGACAUAAGUAACGAUAAAGCGGGUGAAAAGCCCGCUCGCCGGAAGACCAAGGGUUCCUGUCCAACGUUAAUCGGGGCAGGGUGAGUCGACCCCUAAGGCGAGGCCGAAAGGCGUAGUCGAUGGGAAACAGGUUAAUAUUCCUGUACUUGGUGUUACUGCGAAGGGGGGACGGAGAAGGCUAUGUUAGCCGGGCGACGGUUGUCCCGGUUUAAGCAUGUAGGCUGGUUAUCCAGGCAAAUCCGGAUAAUCAAGGCUGAGGUGUGAUGACGAGGCACUACGGUGCUGAAGUAACAAAUGCCCUGCUUCCAGGAAAAGCCUCUAAGCAUCAGGUAACAUCAAAUCGUACCCCAAACCGACACAGGUGGUCAGGUAGAGAAUACCAAGGCGCUUGAGAGAACUCGGGUGAAGGAACUAGGCAAAAUGGUGCCGUAACUUCGGGAGAAGGCACGCUGGUGUGUAGGUGAAGUCCCUGCGGAUGGAGCUGAGACCAGUCGAAGAUACCAGCUGGCUGCAACUGUUUAUUAAAAACACAGCACUGUGCAAACACGAAAGUGGACGUAUACGGUGUGACGCCUGCCCGGUGCCGGAAGGUUAAUUGAUGGGGUUAUCCGUAAGGAGAAGCUCUUGAUCGAAGCCCCGGUAAACGGCGGCCGUAACUAUAACGGUCCUAAGGUAGCGAAAUUCCUUGUCGGGUAAGUUCCGACCUGCACGAAUGGCGUAAUGAUGGCCAGGCUGUCUCCACCCGAGACUCAGUGAAAUUGAACUCGCUGUGAAGAUGCAGUGUACCCGCGGCAAGACGGAAAGACCCCGUGAACCUUUACUAUAGCUUGACACUGAACAUUGAGCCUUGAUGUGUAGGAUAGGUGGGAGGCUUUGAAGCGUGGACGCCAGUCUGCGUGGAGCCAACCUUGAAAUACCACCCUUUAAUGUUUGAUGUUCUAACGUUGGCCCCU
rnacentral:rRNA from 1 species